CCCAGACUCCUACGGGAGGCAGCAGUGGGGAAUAUUGCUCAAUGGGGGAAACCCUGAUGCAGCAACGCCGCGUGAGUGAGGAAGUAUUUCGGUAUGUAAAGCUCUAUCAGCAGGGAAGAAAAUGACAGUACCUGACUAAGAAGCCCCGGCUAACUACGUGCCAGCAGCCGCGGUAAUACGUAGGGGGCAAGCGUUAUCCGGAUUUACUGGGUGUAAAGGGAGCGUAGACGGCUGCGCAAGUCAGAAGUGAAAGCCCGGGGCUCAACCGCGGGACUGCUUUUGAAACUGCGUGGCUAGAGUGCAGGAGGGGCAGGCGGAAUUCCUGGUGUAGCGGUGAAAUGCGUAGAUAUCAGGAGGAACACCGGUGGCGAAGGCGGCCUGCUGGACUGCAACUGACGUUGAGGCCCGAAAGCGUGGGGAGCAAACAGGAUUAGAUACCCGAGUAU
rnacentral:rRNA from 1 species